ensembl:snRNA U6 U6 spliceosomal RNA
GUGCUCAAUUCAGCAAUAUAUAUACCAAAAUUAGAACAAUUCAGAGAAGACUAGCAUAGCCCCUGUGCAAGGAUGACUUAAAAAUUUGCAAAGCAUUUCAUAUUUUU